UUGGAGGGCAAGUCUGGUGCCAGCAGCCGCGGUAAUUCCAGCUCCAAUAGCGUAUAUUAAAGUUGUUGCAGUUAAAAAGCUCGUAGUUGAAUUUCGGGGUUAGUAGGUUGGUCAUGCCUCUGGUAUGUACUGGUCUCACUGAUUCCUCCUUCCUGAUGAACCGUAAUGCCAUUAAUUUGGUGUCGCGGGGAAUUUGGACUGUUACUUUGAAAAAAUUAGAGUGUUUAAAGCAAGCUAACGCUUGAAUACAUUAGCAUGGAAUAAUGAAAUAGG
rnacentral:rRNA from 1 species